UACGAAGGUGGCAAGCGUUGUUCGGAUUUACUGGGCGUACAGGGAGCGUAGGCGGUUUGGUAAGCCCUCUGUGAAAUCUCCAGGCUUAACCUGGAACAGCCGGAGGGGACUGCUGAGCUAGAGGAUGGGAGAGGAGCGCGGAAUUCCCGGUGUAGCGGUGAAAUGCGUAGAGAUCGGGAGGAAGGCCGGUGGCGAAGGCGGCGCUCUGGAACAUUUCUGACGCUGAGGCUCGAAAGCGUGGGGAGCAAACAGG
rnacentral:rRNA from 2 species